CACCCUCUGAGUGAAAAUCUUCCUCCUAAUAUCUAACCUAAAUCUCCUGUCUUAGUUUAAAACCAUUCCCCCUUGUCCUAUCACUAUCCACCCAUGUAAACAGUCAUAUAAAUGGUGGAGGCUGAUUUUGUCAGGCUUUUUGUAAGAAUGGGUUUCUUGGACACAGUGAGAAAAAUACAUUCUUGAAUUAAAUACAGCUCUCCUCAUACUGAAGUCAUAGCAACAAAAUGACCUAACUCUCCAAUUUUACUUUUUUUUCUCCUCUUGUAGUUGUUGCUUUAAUUUCCUACAAUAUGUUAUUCUUGUUGUUUGGAAUCAUGGGGAGGAGGGAGAGAGGGGAAACCAACCUGUGUAGAAAUUAGCUUUGAGUUAUUCCAUCUGUGGACUCUUAAUUUUGUCAUGAAAACAGAGAAGCCUGGCAGGAAGCUAGCUUUUGACUGGCUUCAUGUAUCCUCUUGUCUGGAACUGGUUAAGAAAGUGUGGCAUUUAGAAUGAAAGCAAAAGCUUCAUUUCUGGAACUCUGAGUGUUUGCCCAAUUCUUUGACCAUCUGUUUUUGUUGACAGCCACCUCUUUGUGUUGUGCCAAAGUUAUUUUGGCUUUUAUAAUCUGUGUGUGUGUGUAUGUGAGUACAUGGUGGUGUGGUUGUGUGUGUCUCAUUAGGGCUUUACUUACUGAGUAUGACUGCAGGAGAUUGAAUGCUUAAAAGUAGUUACCUUGUGAGGAUUGAAUUACCAGGACAAUUACGGUGACUAACCUUGGUUUCUCUUUAGUGGGACACUCCAAUCCUGUCCAUACUGCUAUCCUUUCCAAAAGCUGUCAGAUUCUGCAGGCAUUCCUUGUAACUUAAGUUGCAUUACAGCAGUGCUCAGUAUGCAAGUACCUGCCUCAGAAGUCACUGUCAUGAUUAAUAGCAGUGAUGGAGAGCCCAACAUCAGCCUGGACAUGGAGAGCACGUCAUUCUCUUCAUUUCCAGAAGCUGGAGCUGGGGCCUAUUAGGCGGUAGUAUAGUGGAGGUGCUUGGUCACAUUAACCUCUCUUGGCUUCACUAGUCUUCCAUCCUUGAAGUCAGAAUAUAAUUAUUCACCCCCUGAAUCCUCCAUAUGCUAAUAUACCUACUACCAGUAUAUAUCAGUGAUCCAGCAGAGAAGAUGAGAUUCAGAACCCCAUCAUGGAAUUAAAAAGGCAUUAUGAAAUAUGGCUUCAAAAUCUAGUGCAUGACAUUUGUGCUUCUAGAUCAUGCUUGUGUUUCUGUACCGGAUUUGUUCUACACUGUUAUAAAGCUACAGCUUCUCCUUCUGUUGUUAUUCUGAAAGGGAGAUUGAGGUAAAAGAGAAUUUUGUGCUGCUUUCUAGACUUUGUUUUCCUAGCACUGCCUUCAGAACUCCUGCCUGGCAUGAGAGUAGGCCAGAAUAACGUGUAUAGCCCGUGACAGCAGCAAAAUGAGGCUAACAAAUAUCCUACUGAGGAUGCGGUUUGACAGCUUCAUCCAUCCAGCUGAAUUUGCAUUCAAGAGUCAAGAACUCAAAUUAUUCUCAUCAGUGGGAGCCUAUUUGAGGAAUUCGACUGUAUGACUGAAACAUCUCCUGGGCUGCUUUUCUAAACAGCACAUCGGAAUAAAAGGUUUCUUUUUUAAUUGAAGCUCUGGAAGAAUUUCUGUUCUCAGAGGCCUAUAGAAAAAGUCAGUUCAAAAAUAGAAAAAUAAAUGCAGAGAGACUGCGCAGAAAAGAAGACCUGAAAGAUGGAUGUUUUGUUGUGUUCAUUGUUGCUGAAGUAGGAAAAAAUGUGCAAAAAAAUAAAAAUAUAAACAUAAAAAAUGGCCACUUACGACUGGUUUACACUUGAAAUAUUUAAGAAGUAAGAAAAGCGUGUUCUCCAGCUCCUGAAACGUCUAUUGUGCCCAAGUAACUAUGCUAACUAUCUGUUGGUGUAAGUGGAUGCCACCUCAUGGAUUUCAGUGGCAUAUCAUCUCUUCAAACAAGCAGAGAGAGUGGAAGACAUUUGACACAAACAGAAGGAUCGUACUUGCUUAUGUAUACCUCUGUGUGCCAUUGACAUGGAAGGCUUUGACUUUAGGCCAGUGCGUGUUUGGUCAGCCAGGCGAUAGGGUAGCUCAAAAAAAUCUGAAAGCAUGAGGACAUGACAAGCUAUUCAAGGAGCAAUCGACCGUAAUUUAUUUAAAGCAAAGCGAAGACCCUGUGUAAAGUUCUCAUUUCAAUAACAGCUGAUUCAUUCUGCACGGUUUGCCUGCAGAUUUCUUCUGAGAUGAUCUCUAAGUCAGAGUAGAGCAAAAGGAAAAGGUAAGAGCCAGUUAGGUGGAAGAGUAAUUAGAGUUUUCAAGUAUUUGUCCAGUGGAACCCUUUAAUGCUUCUUGUGGAGAUGUUUAAUUUUAGAUUAUUGUCACUUCUGAAGUUCUCAACACUCACUGCUGUAAGCUGUAAAUGAACCCAGAGCCGUCAUUCUAAACCUGUUUGGAAUGGGGAAGCUGCAAUGGGCUGCUUUUCCUGCCGCACUUGAUCCAGGUGCUGCAGUUGUAUUUCUUCAUCACUGCUCUCACUGCUAGCUGACCACCUGUGGCCAUAGGAGGCAGUGAAGCCUGGCUUCCUUGAACCUGCACAUCUGACUCCAGUGGAUUUGUCUGAUGCAGCAUUGUAGGUCUCAGGUGUUAAGAUUUUCUUUCAGCACCAUUGGAAUGUAUGCAUAUAUACCUGUAUAUGAACAAAGAUGGAAAGGUGUAUGCUGUACAGCAUGGGUGCCCAACCUUCAGGCUUUCCUGGGCCACAGUGAAUGAAGAGGAAUUGUCUUG